rnacentral:rRNA from 1 species
UACGAAGGGGGCUAGCGUUGCUCGGAAUCACUGGGCGUAAAGGGUGCGUAGGCGGGUUUUUAAGUCAGGGGUGAAAUCCUGGAGCUCAACUCCAGAACUGCCUUUGAUACUGGAGAUCUUGAGUCCGGAAGAGGUAAGUGGAACUGCGAGUGUAGAGGUGAAAUUCGUAGAUAUUCGCAAGAACACCAGUGGCGAAGGCGGCUUACUGGUCCGGAACUGACGCUGAGGCACGAAAGCGUGGGGAGCAAACAGGG